rnacentral:rRNA from 1 species
GAUGAACGCUGGCGGCGUGCCUAAUACAUGCAAGUCGAGCGAACGGACGAGAAGCUUGCUUUUCUGAUGUUAGCGGCGGGCGGGUGAGUAACACGUGGAUAACCUACCUAUAAGACUGGGAUAACUUCGGGAAACCGGAGCUAAUACCGGAUAAUAUUUUGAACCGCAUGGUUCAAAAGUGAAAGACGGUCUUGCUGUCACUUAUAGAUGGAUCCGCGCUGCAUUAGCUAGUUGGUAAGGUAACGGCUUACCAAGGCAACGAUGCAUAGCCGACCUGAGAGGGUGAUCGGCCACACUGGAACGGAGACACGGUCCAGACUCCUACGGGAGGCAGCAGUAGGGAAUCUUCCGCAAUGGGCGAAAGCCUGACGGAGCAACGCCGCGUGAGUGAUGAAGGUCUUCGGAUCGUAAAACUCUGUUAUUAGGGAAGAACAUAUGUGUAAGUAACUGUGCACAUCUUGACGGUACCUAAUCAGAAAGCCACGGCUAACUACGUG